rnacentral:rRNA from 1 species
UCCAGACUCCUACGGGAGGCAGCAGUGGGGAAUAUUGGGCAAUGGACGCAAGUCUGACCCAGCAACGCCGCGUGAAGGAAGAAGGCUUUCGGGUUGUAAACUUCUUUUAAGGGGGAAGGGGAGAAGACGGUACCCCUUGAAUAAGCCACGGCUAACUACGUGCCAGCAGCCGCGGUAAUACGUAGGUGGCAAGCGUUGUCCGGAUUUACUGGGUGUAAAGGGCGUGCAGCCGGGCUGACAAGUCAGAUGUGAAAUCCGUGGGCUUAACCCGCGAACUGCAUUUGAAACUAUUGGUCUUGAGUGCCGGAGAGGUAAUCGGAAUUCCUUGUGUAGCGGUGAAAUGCGUAGAUAUAAGGAAGAACACCAGUGGCGAAGGCGGAUUACUGGACGGUAACUGACGGUGAGGCGCGAAAGCGUGGGGAGCAAACAGGAUUAGAUACCCCUGUA